AUUGAACGCUGGCGGCAGGCCUAACACAUGCAAGUCGAACGCGUGGCGGACGUGCGAGCAAUGUCUGGGACACUGCCUGAUGGAGGGGGAUAACUACUGGAAACGGUAGCUAAUCCCGCCUACCAUCGGAUUGUCCCAGAGUCGAUUAGCUAGUAGGUGGGGUAAAGGCUCACCUAGGCGACGAUCCCUAGCUGGUCUGAGAGGAUGACCAGCCACACUGGAACUGAGACACGGUCCAGACUCCUACGGGAGGCAGCAGUGGGGAAUAUUGCACAAUGGGCGCAAGCCUGAUGCAGCCAUGCCGCGUGUAUGAAGAAGGCCUGCGGGUUGUAAAGUACUUUCAGCGGGGAGGCGUUACCCGCAGAAGAAGCACCGGCUAACUCCGUGCCAGCAGCCGCGGUAAUUC
rnacentral:rRNA from 1 species